rnacentral:tRNA from 1 species
AUGGAAAUCUCUGUAAUUUUGAGUUUGAGAUAGUAUAGGGGAGAUAGUAUAGGG